CCUAACGUGGAUAACUGUGGUAAUUUUAGAGCUAAUACAUGCACGAGAUCUGCGACCCUCUCUUGUUGUCGCCCUCGUGUCGGCGGAGAGUUUGGCCCGGUUCGCGCCGGGUAGAGGUACGAGCGCUUAUAUUAGCACAAGCCCAACCGGGCGGUCUGCCGUCCCGGCGCCUUGGGGCGCCGCGGGCGUAACGUGUCCGAAAGCCGCUUUCGCCCGCUCUCUCCGGAGCGUGGGUCGGCCGGCGACCUAAUCGUUGUUGGUGACUCUGAAUAACCGAAGCCGAUCGCUAACGCCUCUACGCAGGCGGCGACGGUUCCGCUAAGCGUCUGACUUAUCAACUGUCGACGGUAGAUUAACGAGCCUACCGUGGUGAUAACGGGUAACGGAGAAUCGGGGUUCGAUUCCGGAGAGGGAGCCUGAGAAACGGCUACCACAUCCAAGGAAGGCAGCAGGCGCGCAAAUUACCCACUCCCGGCACGGGGAGGUAGUGACGAAAAAUAACGAUGCGGGACUCUUUCCGAGGCCCCGUAAUCGGAAUGAGAACAAAACAAAUCGGUUAACGAGGAUCAAUUGGAGGGCAAGUCUGGUGCCAGCAGCCGCGGUAAUUCCAGCUCCAAUAGCGUAUAUUAGAGUUGUUGCGGUUAAAAAGCUCGUAGUCGGAUUUACAGUCUCGGCUGUGACGGUCCGUCGCUUUUAGUCGCCCGCAAACCCGGCCGUUUAGCGUCCGUACUCCUUAGCGGGAGCCUACGCGGCGCGGCGUGUCGGGGGGCGGCGGCGCGGUGUCCUCGCGGACAAAAAGCCGUCCUGCUUCCGAGACGCAAAAUCGGAAACGAUUUGUCUCCGGCCGUUCGCUUUAAUGCGGUCGACCGCGGCCGCCGCGGCAUAUCGGCGGCGCGACCCGUGGUCGUUUAGUCCGUCACCGGUUUCUUCCGACUAUCUGCGAGGCGCUCGCGCGCCUCGACGUCGGUCGAUUCAUACCAAACGGUGGCGCGACGGCGGCUACGCUAAGGGUCCGCCGUGUCCAGAGGCCGUCGGUCCGUGUUCGUGUCGGCCGCGCGCGUGUCGCGCUUCUAACGAUGCUCUUCGCUGGGUGUCGGGCGCGGCAAGGUCGGAGACGCAUCACUUUGAAAAAAUUAGAGUGCUCAAAGCGGGCGAGGCGCGCUUCUGGCGCGCCGUCACAUCGCUCGAACAGUUCAGCAUGGAAUGACGGAAUAAGACCGCGGUUCUAUUCUGUUGGUCUUUCGGGACACGUGGUAAUGAUCGAUAGAGACUGACGGGGGCAUUCGUACUGCGACGCUAGAGGUGAAAUUCUUGGACCGUCGCAAGACGCACUACUGCGAAAGCAUUUGCCAAGAAUGUUUUCGUUGAUCAAGAACGAAAGUUGGAGGUUCGAAGGCGAUCAGAUACCGCCCUAGUUCUAACCGUAAACGAUGCCAACUGACGAUUCGCUCGCGUUAAUUUAUCAAAAAGAAUGACCGAGUGAGCAGCCUCCGGGAAACCAAAGUGUUCAGGUUCCGGGGGAAGUAUGGUUGCAAAGCUGAAACUUAAAGGAAUUGACGGAAGGGCACCACCAGGAGUGGAGCCUGCGGCUUAAUUUGACUCAACACGGGAAAACUCACCCGGCCCGGACACCGUAAAGAUUGACGUAUUAAGAGCUACUUCUCGAUUCGGUGGGUGGUGGUGCAUGGCCGUUCUUAGUUGGUGGAGCGAUUUGUCUGGUUGAUUCCGAUAACGAACGAGACUCUAGCCUGCUAAAUAGGCGUCCGAUUAACGGCCCGUUCUGCGGUCGUCGUCGGUGUGGUGUGGCUUUUCGGUCCCGGCUCUAAUCCGCCGCCAACGGGAACGGCAUCCUCCGAAGAAACGCGGGGUUCCCG
rnacentral:rRNA from 1 species